rnacentral:rRNA from 1 species
UACGGGGGGAGCAAGCGUUGUUCGGAUUUACUGGGCGUAAAGGGCGCGUAGGCGGCCACCGCAAGUCGACUGUGAAAUCUCCGGGCUUAACCCGGAAAGGUCAGCCGAUACUGCGGGGCUAGAGUGCAGAAGGGGCAACUGGAAUUCUCGGUGUAGCGGUGAAAUGCGUAGAUAUCGAGAGGAACACCCGUGGCGAAGGCGGCCAUCUGGACCAGUACUGACGCUGAGGCACGAAAGCGUGGGGAGCAAACAGG